UUUAAAGUACUUAUUUUGUAUGCACUAAAGGAUAUAAAAGUAGUAGAUAUAAGAAAAAUCAUAUUAGAAAAAGCAUUUGGUAAAUAUUAUAUGACUAGAGUAAAUUACAUACCAUACCUACCUAACUACUCUUACAAAUACUUACCAUGAUAAAUUACAUAGAAUUUUUGGAAAAAGAUAUGAGAAACAUACAGUUAAUAGAAAAACAGAUGAAAGUAAAUUUAGACAAAUACAUGGAAACUAAAGAU
rnacentral:lncRNA from 1 species